rnacentral:tRNA from 1 species
CUCAUUGUAGCUUAGUGAUAGAGUAUCUGGUGCGUAAAACCAAAAGCCCGGGUUCAAUCCCCGGCAAGAGA